rnacentral:rRNA from 1 species
GCCCGCUCAAGAAACUACAAAGGAAGUUCGACGGGGCCCGCACAAGCGGUGGAGCAUGUGGUUUAACUCGAUGAUACGCGAGGAACCUUACCUGGGCUCAAAUGUAUGUUGACGUAUUCUGAAAGGGAUACUUCUUCGGACAAUAUACAAGGUGCUGCAUGGUUGUCGUCAGCUCGUGCCGUGAGGUGUCGGGUUAAGUCCCAUAACGAGCGCAACCCUAUCAUUAGUUGCCAUCAGGUCAAGCUGGGGACUCUAAUGAAACUGCCUACGCAAGUAGUGAGGAAGGUGGGGAUGACGUCAAAUCAGCACGGCCCUUACGUCCAGGGCUACACACGUGCUACAAUGGCCGGUACAAAGGGCAGCUACCUGGUGACAGGAUGCUAAUCUCAAAAGCCGGUCUCAGUUCGGAUCGGAGUCUGCAACCCGACUCCGUAAAGCUGGAAUCGCUAGUAAUCGCGCAUCAGCCAUGGCGCGGUGAAUACGUUCCCGGGCCUU